rnacentral:lncRNA from 1 species
CUAGCAAAGAUUCAAGUUCUUUACGGAGUACUAAAGGACUCAAGUAGGGCACAGAAACAGGGGGAGGAUUGGGUCUUUUUCCUAAACUAUCCUCCCACCUCACCUUCUGGAGUAGCUGAGACUACAGGUACAUGACAUCACGCCCAGCUAAUUUUUGUAUUUUUUUGUAUAGAUGGGGUUUCACCAUGUUGCCCACGCUAGGCUCAAACUCCUGGGCUCAAGCAAAUGCCCACUUCGACCUCUGAAAGUGCUGGGAUUACAGGCAUGAGUCCUCAUAACCAACCUCAAUAAAAUUUCAAAAAUAAAACAAAGGCCGGGUGCAGUGGCUCAUGGCUGUAAUCCCAGCACUUUGGGAGACCUAGGAACACUUGAGCCCAGGAGUCCAAGACCAGCUUGGGCAACAUAGCAAGACCCUAUCUCUACAAAAAAUAAAAUAUUAGCAGUCAUGGUGGGGCACGCCUGGAGUCCUAGCAAUCAGGAGGCUGAGGCAGGAGGAUUGCUUGAGCCCAGGGGGUCAAGGCUACAGUGAGCCAUCCCUGUGCCACUGUAUUCCAGCUUGGGUAACAGAGCAAGUGCCUGUCUCAAAAAAUAAAAUAAAAUGAUACAUUUUUUUUCUUUUUUAUCAUAAUGCCAGAUUAAGACAGUUUGGAAGCUAUUUUAUUUCGCCUUCCCUUGACUGACCUCGUAAGCUCUUUAAAUACAAAAUAGUUAAUUUAUAAUGUUCAAUACUAUACUUUUAAUUCAAUUAUUAUUUUGUCUAUAAAGUAUUCCUUCAAAUGGUAUAAAAGUCUUAUACGUCUAAUUUCUUUUCCAAUGUCUCUAAUUCCAAUUUAGACCUUU